ACCCUUUAAUGUUUGAUGUUCUAACGUGGACCCGUAAUCCGGGUUGCGGACAGUGUCUGGUGGGUAGUUUGACUGGGGCGGUCUCCUCCUAAAGAGUAACGGAGGAGCACGAAGGUUGGCUAAUCCUGGUCGGACAUCAGGAGGUUAGUGCAAUGGCAUAAGCCAGCUUGACUGCGAGCGUGACGGCGCGAGCAGGUGCGAAAGCAGGUCAUAGUGAUCCGGUGGUUCUGAAUGGAAGGGCCAUCGCUCAACGGAUAAAAGGUACUCCGGGGAUAACAGGCUGAUACCGCCCAAGAGUUCAUAUCGACGGCGGUGUUUGGCACCUCGAUGUCGGCUCAUCACAUCCUGGGGCUGAAGUAGGUCCCAAGGGUAUGGCUGUUCGCCAUUUAAAGUGGUACGCGAGCUGGGUUUAGAACGUCGUGAGACAGUUCGGUCCCUAUCUGCCGUGGGCGCUGGAGAACUGAGGGGGGCUGCUCCUAGUACGAGAGGACCGGAGUGGACGCAUCACUGGUGUUCGGGUUGUCAUGCCAAUGGCACUGCCCGGUAGCUAAAUGCGGAAGAGAUAAGUGCUGAAAGCAUCUAAGCACGAAACUUGCCCCGAGA
rnacentral:rRNA from 2 species